rnacentral:rRNA from 1 species
UGGGGAAUAUUGGGCAAUGGACGCAAGUCUGACCCAGCAACGCCGCGUGAAGGAAGAAGGCUUUCGGGUUGUAAACUUCUUUUGUCAGGGAAGAGCAGAAGACGGUACCUGACGAAUAAGCCACGGCUAACUACGUGCCAGCAGCCGCGGUAAUACGUAGGUGGCAAGCGUUGUCCGGAUUUACUGGGUGUAAAGGGCGUGUAGCCGGGCCGACAAGUCAGAUGUGAAAUCCGCGGGCUUAACCCGCGAACUGCAUUUGAAACUGUUGGUCUUGAGGUAUCGGAGAGGUAAUCGGAAUUCCUAGUGUAGCGGUGAAAUGCGUAGAUAUUAGGAAGAACACCAGUGGCGAAGGCGGAUUACUGGACGACAACUGACGGUG